rnacentral:tRNA from 1 species
UAUUAGCUCAGUUGGUUUAGAGCGUCGUGCUAAUAACGCGAAGGUCGUAGGUUCGAUCCCUGCAUG